rnacentral:rRNA from 1 species
GGUUAAGCGACUAAGCGUACACGGUGGAUGCCCUGGCAGUCAGAGGCGAUGAAGGACGUGCUAAUCUGCGAUAAGCGUCGGUAAGGUGAUAUGAACCGUUAUAACCGGCGAUUUCCGAAUGGGGAAACCCAGUGUGAUUCGUCACACUAUCAUUAACUGAAUCCAUAGGUUAAUGAGGCGAACCGGGGGAACUGAAACAUCUAAGUACCCCGAGGAAAAGAAAUCAACCGAGAUUCCCCCAGUAGCGGCGAGCGAACGGGGAGCAGCCCAGAGCCUGAAUCAGUGUGUGUGUUAGUGGAAGCGUCUGGAAAGGCGUGCGAUACAGGGUGACAGCCCCGUACACAAAAAUGCACAUACUGUGAGCUCGAUGAGUAGGGCGGGACACGUGGUAUCCUGUCUGAAUAUGGGGGGACCAUCCUCCAAGGCUAAAUACUCCUGACUGACCGAUAGUGAACCAGUACCGUGAGGGAAAGGCGAAAAGAACCCCGGCGAGGGGAGUGAAAAAGAACCUGAAACCGUGUACGUACAAGCAGUGGGAGCACGCUUAGGCGUGUGACUGCGUACCUUUUGUAUAAUGGGUCAGCGACUUAUAUUCUGUAGCAAGGUUAACCGAAUAGGGGAGCCGAAGGGAAACCGAGUCUUAACUGGGCGUUAAGUUGCAGGGUAUAGACCCGAAACCCGGUGAUCUAGCCAUGGGCAGGUUGAAGGUUGGGUAACACUAACUGGAGGACCGAACCGACUAAUGUUGAAAAAUUAGCGGAUGACUUGUGGCUGGGGGUGAAAGGCCAAUCAAACCGGGAGAUAGCUGGUUCUCCCCGAAAGCUAUUUAGGUAGCGCCUCGUGAAUUCAUCUCCGGGGGUAGAGCACUGUUUCGGCAAGGGGGUCAUCCCGACUUACCAACCCGAUGCAAACUGCGAAUACCGGAGAAUGUUAUCACGGGAGACACACGGCGGGUGCUAACGUCCGUCGUGAAGAGGGAAACAACCCAGACCGCCAGCUAAGGUCCCAAAGUCAUGGUUAAGUGGGAAACGAUGUGGGAAGGCCCAGACAGCCAGGAUGUUGGCUUAGAAGCAGCCAUCAUUUAAAGAAAGCGUAAUAGCUCACUGGUCGAGUCGGCCUGCGCGGAAGAUGUAACGGGGCUAAACCAUGCACCGAAGCUGCGGCAGCGACGCUUAUGCGUUGUUGGGUAGGGGAGCGUUCUGUAAGCCUGUGAAGGUGUGCUGUGAGGUAUGCUGGAGGUAUCAGAAGUGCGAAUGCUGACAUAAGUAACGAUAAAGCGGGUGAAAAGCCCGCUCGCCGGAAGACCAAGGG